UACGUAGGUGGCAAGCGUUAUCCGGAUUUAUUGGGUUUAAAGGGUGCGUAGGCGGGCUUUUAAGUCAGCGGUAAAAAUUCGGGGCUCAACCCCGUCCGGCCGUUGAAACUGGGGGCCUUGAGUGGGCGAGAAGAAGGCGGAAUGCGUGGUGUAGCGGUGAAAUGCAUAGAUAUCACGCAGAACCCCGAUUGCGAAGGCAGCCUUCCGGCGCCCUACUGACGCUGAGGCAUGAAAGUGCGGGGAUCGAACAGG
rnacentral:rRNA from 1 species